rnacentral:rRNA from 1 species
GGGUCAGUAGGUUGGUCGUGCCACCGGUACGUACUGGUCUCACUGAUUCCUCCUUCCUGAAGAACCGUAGUGCCAUUAAUUUGGUGUUGCGGGGAAACAGGACUGUUACUUUGAAAAAAUUAGAGCGUUUAAAGCAAGCUAACGCUUGAACACAUUAGCAUGGAAUAAUGAAAUAGGACGAUCGAUCCUAUUUUGUUGGUUUCUAGGAUUGACGUA